rnacentral:rRNA from 1 species
CCUACGGGAGGCAGCAGUGGGGAAUCUUGGACAAUGGGGGAAACCCUGAUCCAGCAAUGCCGCGUGUGGGAUGAAGGCCCUCGGGUUGUAAACCACUUUUGGCAGGAAAGAAAUCGCUUGUGCUAAUACCAUGGGCGGAUGACGGUACCUGCAGAAUAAGCACCGGCUAACUACGUGCCAGCAGCCGCGGUAAUACGUAGGGUGCGAGCGUUAAUCGGAAUUACUGGGCGUAAAGCGUGCGUAGGCGGUUUUGUAAGACAGAUGUGAAAUCCCCGGGCUC